ACGUUUGAACAGGGGAGCUUGUAUGCAGGCUGAGAGGAAGUGAUCAACUUCGACCCUUUAACCUGAUUUGGAUAAUGCCAACGUAGGAAGUUACUUUCAUAGCUUU
rnacentral:ncRNA from 2 species